GCUGUGGUGGUGUUGGUGUUGGUGGUGAUGAUGCCAAGAAAACCAAUUCCAGUUCAUCUUCCUCUUGUGAGAGGACAAACCAGCCGUUUAGACAUUUAUUUUGUGUGUUAUUCUCUGUCCUCAGUGUUCACGGUUCAGUUUCUUGCCUCUUACUUCAUUUCUACUGUUGUUGAUAGAUGAUAGUAAUACAAAUUUUAAGAACAGAAGCUAUAAUUAUUAAUUUGGAAUUAAGUGGUGGAUCAACUCUAGCACACUCACCACCUUGACAGGUGAAAGUAUUUACCAGUUUAACAUCAAAACGUUGUUGAGUAUCUAACAGCUAGAACUGACUGACCAGAAGUGCAACCUGGAGCAAAACCAGACUCUUCAUAGAUGUGAUGCUGUUUCCUCAUAGGUGUAUGUAUUAGCUUUACACACUGUUUAGUGUUAACUGAAAAUUGACAGUUAAGAUUUUGAAGCGGUUGUCAGUGUUGUACAGCUCAUGUACAUUAGUUUUAUUCAUAACUUAUUAUUGUCAUUGAUCAGGUUUUCAAUAAAUAAACCUACUGUGAUUAACUUGUACCGGGUAUGUUUUUCCAAAUUGACCAUAUGCCUCAUGAUGAAUCUAACAGGACACAUUGAUGAAUUAGUGUUUUCAGUGUUAUUAGAAUUGUUAAGUACAUAGGCCACACUAGAAAAGUACAAACUCUAAUAUUUUAUCUCUAGAUCCUUUAUUGUCAGUGUUCAAGGACAGCAACAUUUAAACAUUUCUAUUAUUUUUGUUGUUGGUUAAAGCCAACAUAGAAAUAGUUUCUUCAUCAAUUAAAAAUUCAGGAAAAACUUCCAUCAACGUAAUGUGUGAUUACAAUACCGCAUGUGUUGCUACUGUUAAAAUUCAUACCAGACACGCUCCAUAGUGGAGGUUCUACAGUCAGUCAGCCUUUCAGUAGGUUGUUCCCUUCAUUUAUUACAGUUUGAUUAAAUCUAAGGUGCGGUGCUGAGAGUUGGACAGAUGAGGGCACCACAUACCAUUUAAUUCAGCAUGUUUGACCUCAGACUGUAUGACAGAGUGGAACUGCAGCUGUACUCAAUGUAACGUGCAGAUGUAUGUGUUUGUUCAUAUAAGGUUUUAUUUGAUGUAUUUUUAUUAUAAGUAGGCCUACAUGAUAACCAUAUUACAAGAGCAAGUAAACUACAAUAUAUUUAAUGCUUCUUACAAUGUGGCUUCAGCAAAGUUUGUGUGGUCAUCAUGACGUAAUGAUGGGACACCUGAGAACUGCAAUGGCAGCUGUGGCUAGAAGAAGGAUGAUUUGGUUUGUGGCCUAUCUACCUUAACUACUCUAUCGGCCCUAUCUACCCCUCUAACUACCCUAUCAUUCCUAUCUACUCUAUCAGCCCUAUCUAUCCUAUCUACUCUAUCAGCCCUAUCUAUCCUAUCUACCCCUCUAUCAGCCCUAUCUAUCCUAUCUACCCCCCUAUCUAUCCUAUCUACCCUGCCACCCCAUCUAUCUAAGUGGUGAUUCGGCUGAUCUGGCUGGCUAGGCGGGUGUUCCCUUCGUCCUCCACCGGUCCCCAAGGCCCGAAGGCCGGUGGAGGAGGACGGGGUGCCCCCGGCGGACUUCCACCCAUCCAUAUGCCGGUAGCUGCGCUCUCCAGCUACAAAUAAAUAACCAGUUUGAGGUCCUAUAUACAACCUCGGUUCAGCGAAAUCCGUGUCGUCAUCAUGAGCAAAUAAUGACCAAAAUUCCAAGGGCCAUUCUCGUGACUUGUUACGUGACAAUCGGUCCACCAACGGAUGUGUGUUUGAAGUGCUCAUGGCCCCCACCGAUGGCCGUGAGUCCACGAGACUCUCGGUUAAAUAGCUUGUCGGUGGGGGACUCAGCACGUGCUGAGGUGACACCAUAUACUGUAAAUAAAAAUGGUCGUAGGCUGCGGGGCUGAGAAGUGAAGCCAAUGCGGAAGUGACUUUACAUGCAAUACCACUGAUGGCCACUAGAGGCGGGCUCCAAAACUCUGGCUCCAAUAUACACCCAUUCAAUAAACGCUAACGUUUCUAAUGAAAUAUUCAGUCAGUCAAUAUUAAAACUCAUUACAGUGUCAUUGGCUAAAUUCACACCUCUCGCUCAGUGUUCCGGUUGUCCAUCUGAAAAUAAUCAUCUAAUUAAUGAGAUAUUAGGCCUUAAAAUCAGUUAUUUCAGUUGAAAUUUGCUUAGUUAUACUACUUGUCACCAAUAGGUGGCGGUAGCAGCCUUGUAAUCUGAAUGACUGACGCUGUAAACCUUCGGUAGAGGAAGUCCGCUCAGUCAUAUCAAAGACAGUCAUAGCUACAGCAGCGUGAUUGAAAAUUCACAGACUGUUUUUCUGUUUGGUUGCAGGUGUCCACACUGAAAACUGAAUGACCACUGGCAACAGAAGGAGGAGCUCAUGUAUGGACAAAGGAGACUGCAUGUACUUCCUUAGUUCUGAAAUGGGCUGUGGUGGUGUUGGUGGUGAUGAUGAUGAUGAUGAUGAUGAUGAUGAUGAUGCCAAGAAAACCAAUUCCAGUUCAUCUUCCUCUUGUGAGAGGACAAACCAGCCGUUUAGACAUUUAUUUUGUGUGUUAUUCUCUGUCCUCAGUGUUCACAGGUUCAGUUUCUUGCCUCUUACUUCAUUUCUACUGUUGUUGAUAGAUGAUAGUAAUACAAAUUUUAAGAACAGAAGCUAUAAUUAUUAAAUUGGAAUUAAGUGGUGGAUCAACUCUAGCACAGUCACCACCUUGACAGGUGAAAGUAUUUACCAGUUUAACAUCAAAACGUUGUUGAGUAUCUAACAGCUAGAACUGACUGACCAGAAGUGCAACCUGGAGCAAAACCAGACUCUUCAUAGAUGUGAUGCUGUUUCCUCAUAGGUGUAUGUAUUAGCUUUACACACUGUUUAGUGUUAACUGAAAAUUGACAGUUAAGAUUUUGAAGCGGUUGUCAGUGUUGUACAGCUCAUGUACAUUAGUUUUAUUCAUAACUUAUUAUUGUCAUUGAUCAGGUUUUCAAUAAAUAAACCUACUGUGAUUAACUUG